CGGUGUUUAACUGGCGUGAUGUGGGACGUCCUACCGGUGGGCUUAGCCUCGCGAGGGGCGGCCCAACUAAUAUCCCGUCGCGGUGCUCUUUACUGAGUGUCGAGUCGGGCCGGUACGUUUACUUUGAACAAAUUAGAGUGCUUAAAGCAGGCUAUCCUCGCCUGAAUACUGCGUGCAUGGAAUAAUGGAAUAGGACCUCGGUUCUAUUUUGUUGGUUUUCGGAACCCCGAGGUAAUGAUUAAUAGGGACAGAUGGGGGCAUUCGUAUUGCGACGUUAGAGGUGAAAUUCUUGGAUCGUCGCAAGACGGACAGAAGCGAAAGCAUUUGCCAAAAAUGUUUUCAUUAAUCAAGAACGAAAGUUAGAGGUUCGAAGGCGAUCAGAUACCGCCCUAGUUCUAACCAUAAACGAUGCCAGCUAGCGAUCCGCCGAAGUUCCUCCGAUGACUCGGCGGGGCAGCUUCCGGGAAACCAAAGCUUUUGGGUUCCGGGGGAAGUAUGGUUGCAAAGCUGAAACUUAAAGGAAUUGACGGAAGGGCACCACCAGGAGUGGAGCCUGCGGCUUAAUUUGACUCAACACGGGAAACCUCACCAGGCCCAGACACCGGAAGGAUUGACAGAUUGAUAGCUCUUUCUUGAUUCGGUGGGUGGUGGUGCAUGGCCGUUCUUAGUUGGUGGAGCGAUUUGUCUGGUUAAUUCCGAUAACGAACGAGACUCUAGCCUGCUAAAUAGGCGUACCUUAUGGUAUCGCGAAGGCCCCCGGCUUCGGCCGGUGGGUUUUUACUACCAACGUACAAACAAAUCUUCUUAGAGGGACAGGCGG
rnacentral:rRNA from 1 species